rnacentral:rRNA from 1 species
UACGAAGGGGGCUAGCGUUGUUCGGAGUUACUGGGCGUAAAGGGCGCGUAGGCGGCGCACCAAGUCAGGCGUGAAAGCCCUGGGCUCAACCCGGGAAUUGCGCUUGAGACUGGUGUGCUCGAGUACGGGAGAGGAUAGUGGAAUUCCAGUGUAGAGGUGAAAUUCGUAGAUAUUGGGAAGAACACCGGUGGCGAAGGCGGCUCACUGGCUCAUUACUGACGCUCAGGCGCGACAGCGGGUGGGAUCAAACAGG